AUUAGAGUUUGAUCCUGGCUCAGAUUGAACGCUGGCGGCAGGCUUAACACAUGCAAGUCGAGCGGGGAAGGGUAGCUUGCUACCUGACCUAGCGGCGGACGGGUGAGUAAUGCUUAGGAAUCUGCCUAUUAGUGGGGGACAACAUUCCGAAAGGAAUGCUAAUACCGCAUACGCCCUACGGGGGAAAGCAGGGGAUCUUCGGACCUUGCGCUAAUAGAUGAGCCUAAGUCAGAUUAGCUAGUUGGUGGGGUAAAGGCCUACCAAGGCGACGAUCUGUAGCGGGUCUGAGAGGAUGAUCCGCCACACUGGGACUGAGACACGGCCCAGAUCCUACGGGAGGCAGCAGUGGGGAAUAUUGGACAAUGGGCGAAAGCCUGAUCCAGCCAUGCCGCGUGUGUGAAGAAGGCCUUUUGGUUGUAAAGCACUUUAAGCGAGGAGGAGGCUACCGAGAUUAAUACUCUUGGAUAGUGGACGUUACUCGCAGAAUAAGCACCGGCUAACUCUGUGCCAGCAGCCGCGGUAAUACAUGAGGGUGCGAGCGUUAAUCGGAUUUACUGGGCGUAAAGCGUGCGUAGGCGGCUUUUUAAGUCGGAUGUGAAAUCCCUGAGCUUAACUUAGGAAUUGCAUUCGAUACUGGGAAGCUAGAGUAUGGGAGAGGAUGGUAGAAUUCCAGGUGUAGCGGUGAAAUGCGUAGAGAUCUGGAGGAAUACCGAUGGCGAAGGCAGCCAUCUGGCCUAAUACUGACGCUGAGGUACGAAAGCAUGGGGAGCAAACAGGAUUAGAUACCCUGGUAGUCCAUGCCGUAAACGAUGUCUACUAGCCGUUGGGGCCUUUGAGGCUUUAGUGGCGCAGCUAACGCGAUAAGUAGACCGCCUGGGGAGUACGGUCGCAAGACUAAAACUCAAAGGAAUUGACGGAAU
rnacentral:rRNA from 2 species